rnacentral:lncRNA from 1 species
CCCGCCCCCGCGCUCCCCUGCCCCUGCGAGCCCGCCGUCCCCUCCGCACCCCGCGCGCUGCGCUGCUCCAGCUUGCUUCCUCCGCAGCGCCGGGAACCUGCGUGGCUCCUGGGCGUUCAGCUCUGUGGAUUUUGGGAACUGUUAGCGUUAGGCAAAGGCAGCGGGAACAGAGGGAGACUCUGGGCUCUCGGUGAAGAUGCUAGCAGGCGUGGGGCAGGCAGAUGGAGGCUUGUUUUCUGGACUUCCUAAUGCUCCAGCCCUCUGGAGCUGUAGAGGAAGAUGUGGGCUAGGCUGCCACGUCCGUGGAGCUCGGACUCCGAAGGUAAUUUUGAGACCCCCGAAGCAGAAACACCGAUCCGCUCGCCCCUAAAGGAGUUCUGCGAGCCAUCGCUGGGAUCGCGAGAGCCGGAGGCUGGGACCCAAGGUAAGGCGCAAGCGUGCAUCUUCUGCUUUUCGGUUUUCUGCUCCGGAUGCAGAAAAGCGGGGUGGGGUCAGGGAGGAGAAGUUGCUUGUGUUGAAUAAUGCCUGCUGCAUUUUUUGUGGUUAAUGGUCUGGAUGGUUCAAAUGCCAGUACUGGGGGCUGUGUGUGCUCUGCAAAGGCUGUUCUUUAACUGACGUUAAAUGCUGACUUUACUGAAUCAUUUUGGAGGGGAGGGGGCUGUACUGCAGGCUUGAAAGAAUCGGUUGGGCUCCCCUCGGCUCUCGCCUGUGCAGCCUGAAAUUAUCAUGAGGCCGUUUUGCAAUCACCGGUCACGCUCUCCUGCUGUCCCCACGCCGAGAUAGGGGGUGAGCGUGCGCGAGGCUGCAGAGGGCAGAGAUCCCUAAGUCGGGUUUGGGGAGCCGCCCCGGCAGAGGCGGUGCCCGGAGAGGCAGGGCCUGCAGCCGGCCGGGCUGCGAUGGAUUGAUCUAGAGGAAGAGAGGGUUUUGUUGAGUCAUUUUGUCUUUUAAACUGCCCUCUCCAACUUCCCCCUCAGACCUUGCCGGGCUCAGUAAUACCUCCCGCUGCCUCCGGGUGUCGGAGGGCGGGCGGCGGGAGCUGGCUUGCGCAUGCUUCGCCUGCCACUUGCGGUAGGAGAGACCUGCCCUUGUCACAAGAGCUGACGCGGUGCU